rnacentral:rRNA from 1 species
UACGUAGGGGGCAAGCGUUGUCCGGAAUUAUUGGGCGUAAAGAGCGUGUAGGCGGUCCGGUAAGUCAGCUGUGAAAGUCAAGGGCUCAACCCUUGAAAGCCGGUUGAUACUGUCGGGCUAGAGUCCGGAAGAGGCGAGUGGAAUUCCCGGUGUAGCGGUGAAAUGCGCAGAUAUCGGGAGGAACGCCGGUGGCGAAAGCGACUGUCUGGGGUGCUUGUGACGCUGAGGCGCGAAAGCCAGGGGAUCAAACGGG